rnacentral:lncRNA from 1 species
CCCCAGCCAGCCAGCCCGCGAGGCGUGUACACGCCGCAGGACGCCUACACCUUCCCGCCCACGCGCGUCGGGGAGGCGCGGGCGCUGAAGGUCAGCGUGCGGAACAGUUCCUUCGUGACGCGGGCGCUCAAGUUCGUGCCGCCCCGGGAGCCGUUCCACGUGCGGCACUCCAGGUACUCCCUGAGGGCCCGGCACUACAUCCACAUCCCCGUGCACUUUCGGCCCACGGCGGCGGGCAGCUUCCAGGCGCUGCUUCUCAUCCAGACGGACGGGGGCCGGAGCACGGCCGUGCGGCUGAGCGGCGAGGCCCUGGAGGACGACUGACGACUGACGCGCCUCUCCGUGCCUUGUGCCUCGUAAACUGGUGGGGCCGACUAAGUCCUUCCGGGACCAGCCCUCCAGGCCCAAGCCAGCGUAUCACGUGUCUCCGCCGGGCACCACUCACCUCUGCGGUUAGGCGAGCUCUGUUUUUGCAUUAUGGUAUUGUGAAUAAAUGUGGCAUUUAUUUUAAUGCGGUGCAUCCAGAAAUAAAUGUCCCUCUGCACUGACCGGCUCACGCGUCGUGCCAGCCGGAAGGAGUAAGGGGUAGCACCUCGCUGGUCCUCCACCUCCCUCGCCUAGUCUGGUCUGGUCCGCUCCGUGCCCUCCGUCCCCACUUCGGCGGCCGCAGAGAAGGAAAGUACGGGUGUGGAAGGGGCCUCGGGGCAGCCGCCCGUGCUGGACCUCGGUCGGUGGGGCCCACGCAGAAACACGGAGCUGGUUUCACAGGUCAACCGGUGGCUUCCCUGUCGGCUGUCGGAUGUUUGCUUGACAGCCUGCAGCCGCAGUUUAAAGCAGGAGUGUGCUUUUUCCAGGGUUUACCGUGGGCUCUCCCUUCCCAAGGGUUUUUCUGUGUAACUAUGGCUUUGCUUCUUACGCAGUACCCAGGAGGUAAGAAAGGAGAAGUGUUACAUUUAAAGAACAUUUAAAAGUGACUCUUCUGGGCCCGGGAUUUAGCCCAGUGGUCCCGCCACCUGCCUUCCAAAAACAAGACUUCUUCCCAAGGUCAGGUGAGCGGCUCAUUGAUUGACUUACUGACGUUGGAGAUAGGGCCUCCCCAGUUGCCCAGGCUGGUGGAGCCCCUGCCUCGAGCAGUCCUCCUGCUUCAGCCCCAUGGGUGGUGGGACCGAGCGUCUUAUGGAUGUGCAGCCCUCCCGGGCCAUCGUUUUCAGAGCAGUUGCAGACCGGGGGUUCCUGGGCUGGUGUGCGGAGAAUGGCAGCUCCUGGCCGCCCGCCGACCUGUCCUCCGCCCGCUGUCCUGUCC